rnacentral:rRNA from 1 species
UAGGGAAUCUUCCACAAUGGGCGAAAGCCUGAUGGAGCAACGCCGCGUGAGUGAAGAAGGGUUUCGGCUCGUAAAACUCUGUUGUUAAAGAAGAACGUGGGUAAGAGUAACUGUUUACCCAGUGACGGUAUUUAACCAGAAAGCCACGGCUAACUACGUGCUAG